GACGGAGGAUGCAAGCGUUAUCCGGAAUGAUUGGGCGUAAAGCGUCCGCAGGUGGCAGUUCAAGUCUGCUGUCAAAGACCGGGGCUUAACUUCGGAAAGGCAGUGGAAACUGAACAGCUAGAGUAUGGCAGGGGCAGAGGGAAUUCCUGGUGUAGCGGUGAAAUGCGUAGAUAUCAGGAAGAACAUCGGUGGCGAAGGCGCUCUGCUGGACCAUAACUGACACUCAGGGACGAAAGCUAGGGGAGCGAAUGGG
rnacentral:rRNA from 1 species